CUGGGCGUAGCUCAGUCUGGUAGAGCACGGGCUUUGGGUGCCCGGGGUCGCAGGUUCGAAUCCUGCCGCCCAGACCA
rnacentral:tRNA from 1 species